GAAAAGUAAACUGUGAUGGCUGGGGUGGUACAGGCCAGCCCUGUCUGAGAGUUGAUCUGCAGAUAAAGCCACAUUGGGAAUUCCCUGAACUAUGAGCCCACAGAAACUGCUGUCCUGGAAAAAUGGAGGGAAGUGUAUUAUCAACAUGAGUUAGGUUGUACGCUGGAGGCAAGAACAUCCCCUCCUUAAAAAUGCUACCUGGCUUAAAAUGUCAGGUCCUUUUCCCAGAGGUAACCAGAUCCCCUUCCUCCUGCCUGCCACAUUUUCUUGGUUUAAGACAAUUUAAAUAAUUGGACAUUCUAAAAUUAGUUACUUCCCCUUAGUUCCAACCAAUCCCUUUCCAUCAAUAAAGAAACAGUAGAUACAAAUGGAAAAAAUAAGUUUACUGACAAGUGAAACCGCAACAGGCGAAAAAUAGCUGUGAAUAAUCACUAAAUACAAAAUUGCUAAAUCUCACAAAUUCUACAGGAACAAAAGACACCCAAACUGGUGGGGUACUUCCCCCUACCAAGAUAGCAGCCCCCACUGCCGACUGCAUAUAAGGAGACAAAGGGAAAACGGCGUCAGACCCAAACAUUUGAAGGGAUUGGUACCUCCUAACUGUACCACAAUUGCUGUUCUGGCUGUGCUGCUGGGCUGUAAACAGACAGUAAUGAAGUUUUUGGACACAGAUGGAUAUGGAAUACAAUAGUAUUUUGGGUUACCUAGGACACAUGUACCCUUGGGAGAAUGUUUGCCCAUUGGGCUUCCAACCUUAAGCACAGUCCUCUUGCCAGUUAUGAAAAGCUGGUGAGAUUUACGUAGUUUUUGGUGGAGAUCGUCACUUCAGACUAAACAUACCAAGUACUGGCCAUCCCCAUGACAUGCUCCCAUGUGGUGUUCCUUCCUGGAUACUUUCUGGGACCCAUGCUCAGUCCAGGGAUCCAGCUCGCUCCAGGGCCACCUCAUGAACAGCCUCUCCAGAGAGGGCACUUCAGCAUGGUUUUGAGCAGUGGCACAAGAAGGCUGUCCACCACUCCCACCACAAAAUAAAAAGAAGCAUCCAGAAGCCAGCAGCUGCCAUCUGCUUGCCUGGCUCUUCUGUGCAACAUGAUCUGUGCAGCAUGAGUGGGUGACAGCAACAUCUCCUCGACUUGUGACAGAAACAGUGAAUUCCAAGCUCUCUCUGCACCUGUGAGCCCCAGGUGUCUUAGUAAACAUUUUAAUUUAAAUAUUCAACAGUAACAAAGAGUAACAUACAGUAGCUGUGUACAGUAAGCCCUCCUUGCAACAAAACCUUACCCCUUGAUUGGCUAAGCAAACACACGGCUGGUUUGCUGCUAUGGUUCUCUCUUCCUAAUUGCUUCAGGGUCUACUUCUAGGGUCAUUCAAGAUCUCAGUGUAGUCAAAACACAGCACUUGUGUUUAUAACGAAGCUUUCUUUAAUGCAAAUUUUCCUAACACCUUAUUAUUUUAUUUAUAUAAUCCCAUUGAAGAAUUUGAGGAAUUUGUUAGCCUUAAUCACUUUAAAGUCAGAUUUACCUUAAACAUUUCAUCUCCAUUCCUAAAUCUAUGUUUCCAAACUAUGGGAGUAGUCUUACUUAUUACAUUUCCCUGCAGCCUUCCAGUAGAUACAGUCUUUUCCUUCCUUCCUGUGGCUCUUAUAUUCUGUCCCACAGCCUGCUCUUACUUAAUUCAAGUUCUUCUGAGCUGAUCCUAAAUUAAUACUCUCUCGUAAUCAUGGCAAUUAAUAAGCUAUUAUAAUUCUAUGUCAGACUGACUCUGACAUACAUUUUACUCGAUUCAGGCUGUGACUUCAUUCUGAACGCAAGGAGACAUUCAACCAAGCCUGCGUAUCUGGGGGAGCUGUUUCCCCUUCCUGUGGUUUGUUGCUAUGGCAAGCGUGUUGCCCUGGGGGUUCAGCUGAGGGCUUGGCUCUCACAGCGCUUCCCCGCUCUCCUCUGAGCCCGUGUGGGGGAGCCUCCAGCAGAUGCAGCCCGGCGGUGCUGUGAUGCAGGUGUAACGGGGCCAGCGCACAGAAGCCGCUGCUGCGCUGAACUUCUUCCCUGUCUGCCAUAAUCAGGUCGCACGACACCACGGCAAACUGCUUUUGAAAUAGCUGCGUAUGGAAAUGUACAAGGAUUAGACGUCACUGUGUCCGUGCAGCCACAGGCCGCAGCCAGCACGACCCACGGCUGACCCCGCGACGCCUUGGGGCCCCGCAGGCACGGCUUCCUCUUCCUGCAGGGCCGUACACACGCUUCCCCGUGCUCUCGUGGUCACAGGGCUUCGUCCAGUGUGCCUGCUGCCUAAUUGUAUUAAAAUGCUAUUAAUACUAUUAUUAACAAAAUAAAUAAAUAAAUAAAUAAAUAACA
ensembl:lncRNA